CGGGGGGCGCGCGCGCGCGGCGCCGGAGGUGCAGCGGUACGGCGGCCGGGAGGGGCGGUCUGUCCGUCUGUCUGUCCGUCUGUCCUGGGGCGGGGGGAGGUCUGUCCGACCGGCGGUAGGGAAGGGGAAUCGUCUGCCCGUCUGUCUGUCCACGGAUCGGGGAGGAAGGCUCCGUCCUGAAGGAGCGAGGGCGUCAGGGAGCCCCGCCAUGAGCUCCAAGGCCAAGCGGGUAUUGCCCACCCGCCCUGAGCCGCCCACCGUGGAGCAGCUCCUGGCCGACGUGCGGG
rnacentral:lncRNA from 1 species